ACUGAAGGAGAACUGUUUUGCUUUGCUCCGGGAAGAGUGCAGACACGACGUGAAAUCCGGAGCUCUUUGCGUGGUGCAUUUAAAAUGCUUCCUUAUUUAUAUUACCCUCAUCCCCUCCCCUCUCCCACCCCCUCACCAGCCCUUCCAAAUUUCCCUAGAAAUCUGUGUAAAGCGUGGAGGGGAAAACAUUUGCAUAAAAAGUGAAGGAGCACGCCAAGGAGCACCAAAGACCAAGAGGAGACCAGAUGAGUUUUCAGAGCAGUUCUCAGACACCCAGGACGCAUGUCAUCCUUUGCCUCGUGCUUUCUGCAAUGUUGCUGCUCACCUUCAUCUUUCUAUUAACCCUCGCCAUAACAAUCCCCUCCUGACACCACCACCUCUUCUCCAUUAAUCACCCACUCAGCUCUCUCUGAGGUGUCUCUCCCAUGGGGCAUGGCUUUGUCUCUGGCAGGCUCCCCUUGAAUCAUAUCCAGAUGGCUACCAUUUACUUCCUUUUCCUCUGUCUCCUCUUCACACCAGACUCAGUUAACACUCAGUCCCUUGAUCAGGAAAACCGGAGAAAAAGUUCCCUUUUCUAAAAAGGAAGUCAGAGCGUGCUCUGCUGGAGCCACCAUGCUCAGGGAAGAGACCCAAAAUACAGCUGAGUGUGAUGUCAUUGAAACCAGAUGGAAAGACCAGAAAUCCCUUAAUCCCAGUCAGACCUAGUGAAGCUUUACUUGUGACUGUUGGGACUGAUUAAGAAUAUGGGGGCAGGGAGGAAGAGAGGGAGAAAGAUGUUCUGAAUUGGAUUGCCCUUCAAUACAGAAUGGAAUCCCCUAGUUUUUUUGUCCUCCAAUUAAAUGUGCAUUUCAUUCU
ensembl:lincRNA